rnacentral:rRNA from 1 species
UACGUAGGGGGCAAGCGUUGUCCGGAUUUAUUGGGCGUAAAGAGCGUGUAGGCGGCUUGACAAGUCUGCUGUGAAAACUCGAGGCUCAACCUCGAGAUGUCGGCGGAAACUGUCUGGCUAGAGUCCGGAAGAGGAGAGUGGAAUUCCUGGUGUAGCGGUGAAAUGCGCAGAUAUCAGGAAGAACACCAAUGGCGAAAGCAGCUCUCUGGGACGGUACUGACGCUGAGACGCGAAAGCGUGGGGAGCGAACAGG